UACGUAGGUGACAAGCGUUGUCCGGAUUUACUGGGCGUAAAGAGCGCGCAGGCGGUCGUUCAAGUCGGGUGUGAAAGCCCCCGGCUCAACUGGGGAGGGUCACUCGAUACUGAUCGACUUGAAGGCAGGAGAGGGAAGCGGAAUUCCCGGUGUAGUGGUGAAAUGCGUAGAUAUCGGGAGGAACACCAGUGGCGAAGGCGGCUUCCUGGCCUGUUCUUGACGCUGAGGCGCGAAAGCUAGGGGAGCAAACGGG
rnacentral:rRNA from 1 species